UGGGGAAUAUUGGACAAUGGGCGCAAGCCUGAUCCAGCCAUGCCGCGUGAGUGAUGAAGGCCUUAGGGUUGUAAAGCUCUUUUGGCGGGGACGAUAAUGACGGUACCCGCAGAAUAAGUCCCGGCUAACUUCGUGCCAGCAGCCGCGGUAAUACGAAGGGGACUAGCGUUGUUCGGAAUCACUGGGCGUAAAGCGCACGUAGGCGGAAUUGUAAGUCAGGGGUGAAAUCCCGGGGCUCAACCUCGGAACUGCCUUUGAUACUGCGAUUCUCGAGUCCGAUAGAGGUGGGUGGAAUUCCUAGUGUAGAGGUGAAAUUCGUAGAUAUUAGGAAGAACACCGGUGGCGAAGGCGGCCCCCUGGUUCGAUACUGACGCUGAGGUGCGAAAGCGUGGGGAGCAAACAGG
rnacentral:rRNA from 1 species